CUUCGAACGCACAUUGCGGUCUUCGGAUACUGUUCCUGGACCACUCCUGGCUGAGGGUCGUUUCAAUUUCCACGACUGCCGGGCGUUGUAUGCACCGCCAAGUACGGUGCUCGCCGAGGCAAAUAUAUGGCCGUUCGCGAUAAGCCGUAACGUCGUUCGUCUCGUAUAGCCCCGCUCUAGUACGGAGGCGGCGGAACGAGUCUGACGUAAGCUAUAUCGCGUCGGUUUAAAUUACCGCCACUAAAAUAUGGUUCGCGGCGAACAGCGUGUAUUAUGUUGUGUUAUAUACGCCCGUCGGAACUCGAUUGUGGUCGACGUGUCAGAGACAAGACCGAGGAUGAAAUGCUUGCAUAUUCGUUAUCCCGAGUUUUGCGUUGCGGGGAACGGGUGUCGUCGUAUUAGUCAGGUGUAAACGGGUUCAGCGAUAACUACUGUGUGAUGUACGACGACCACGAAGUCCGUCGUCUUCUCAUUAUUAUGUCGCGAUAACUUUACAUAGACGGACGACAGAUAGCCACGUUUAACCAACCGUCGUCAGACCUAUCGGUUCGAAAUUUGCCGCGGGUUUAACUUUUUUAGCUCGUCGCCCAUCGAAGCGACGGCGGAGAACACCCGCGUGCGAAUAACGGGCGUGCCGUUUGUGUGACCAUAGGCGUGUUUGUAAAUUUUAUGAACGA
rnacentral:misc_RNA from 1 species